AUAAAUCAAGAUGGGUGAGUGCCCAUGUCACCUCCGAACCAGCUUCUACUUGGCAUGCACAGGAAAAGCCUAAAAGGAGAAGGAGGAUGCUCCACAGCUGUGCCUUUUCCUCUGGCUCCUCCAUGAAGAGCUGUCCGUGGCUUUGCAGCAAAAGCACUCUCAGGAUGCAGAAGAGCAAAGAGACUUUUUAUUCUUCUAAGCAGGAUUCCCUGUCCAGUCUCCAUGAGAGACUGCUGGAGCCUUUCCUCUGCAUCAUUUGGGAUCACCUCUCCAUCUGGCAGCUGGGACACGGGAGGCAGCCACAGGGUGCCAUGGAGAGCUGCCAGGAGAAGAGGAGAUGGAGGACUAUAUCAUUGCAUACAGCUGCAGAGUGGAGCCUGCCUGCCUGAUGGAGCUCACAGCUCGGAUGCACCAAAGAGAGUCUCAGAUCAAACACGGACAUAGUGGGCAAAUCAGAGAAUGGAGCCCAAGCCCCUGGUUCAGAACAGCUGCCAGGUCAUUCAGACCAUCUAUGCUGACCCCUCCUUUAAUUUUCUCCCCAGGCCUUAUUUUUGAAAGAGUAACCUGACCAUUUUUGUGGAGUAGAAAUCGCUGUUUUCUCGCAUUUUACCUGGUAAUAGACAGUCUCCAAUUAAAUCAUCUGGGAACCAGCAAAGCAAAAUAAGGAGGAAAUCAGAUGUCAAAAUGCUGUUACACACCUCUCGAGCACCAGGAGCUAGCAAUCUGUUCCCCUCAUCUCACAGGGCUUGCCAUCACUUCCAGCUGCCAUGAAUGGGGCCCGUGGCAUCAUGAAGCACAGGAAGUUCCGCACAAAUGUGCGCAAGAACUUCUUUACAGUGGGGGUGAUGGAGCACUGGAACAGGCUGCCCAAGGAGGUUGUGGAGUCUCCUCUGGAGAUGUUCAAGACUUGUGUGACCUGGUGUAGGGAACCUGCUUUGGCAGGGGGGUUGGACUCAAUGAUCUCUGGAGGUCCCUUCCAACCCCUACGAUUCUGUGAUUCCGUAUGUUUCAGGAUGAAAACUGGCUGAUUUGCUUGAAAUGAUCUCAGUUUCACAUCUCUGUUUUCAGAUAUAUUUUGAGUAUAAGGUAUAUAAAAUACAGUGUGAUUGUCUGGUAUGGAAGAAAUCAGUCAGAUUCUGCCCAUUGCUGCUAGCACACAGCAUGCAUAGGCAUCAGAUGCAGCAGCAUGAGCAUAACCAAAAGCAGAUUUUAGAUCCGCAUGGGUCCAGCGAACGGCAGCUGCUUGGUCACUUCUCAUCACAGCUCUGUGUCCUUCUACAGGAGCUAUUGGGCUACAGAAACUGACGGCAAGCCCAGAAAUGCCAGGGUCUGUGUGGCACAGCAAGGAGCAGGCUCAUGCUCAGACUGCUCCAGCUUCAGCAUGUUCCAAAUUCCCCUAUAUAACAGCAAGUACAGCCUGGUCAAGACAUGGCACACACCAUUUAACAACAGGACAGAGAGGGAAUUUUCCACUCUGGAGGAGCAGGACCAUGCUUAAUAGGAGCAUAAUUUUCUGCUAUUGUACAUUCACAUGCUUGCUAUUGCAUGCAAUUAUUUGCAGGUCUGAAAAAUGCCCUGCUAACUGGCUGCACUGAGAAGAAUAUGGAGACAAAAGAAACUCCUGGUACAGAUUUGGUUCAUCAGAAAAAAAUAAUUAUAAUAAUAGAAAGGAAAAUAAAGGCAAAAUCUGAUGUCA
rnacentral:lncRNA from 1 species